AGUCAUGCUACAAGCAUAAAGCGAAUUAUUCUUUCGCCUUUUACUAAAAAAUACUGUGUGCUUGUAACAAAUAGCGGCAUACACCUAUUUUUGGAGGGCUUCUACCCUUUCAGGGU